GAGAGGCAAAAUAAACCCUUUCUCUCUUAAAAAAAAAGAUAAAGAAAAAAAAAGGAAAGACAGGAGAACACAGGUAAACAAGUAGAAGCCCUUAAAGAAGAAACACAAAAAUACCAUAAAGAAAGACAGGAAAACACAACCGUUGGAGUUAACAAGAAAACCCCAAUAAAGGACUUAGAGAAAAGACUGAAGGACAUGAAGGUGUUUGUAACCCUAUAGGAGGAAUAAAAUAUCAACCAACCAGAUGCCACCAGAGCUCACAGGGAUUAAAUCACCACCAAAUGAGGGCACAUAGAGGGACCCAUUGCUCCAGCCAAAUAUGUUGCAGCAGAUGCCAUUGUACAGCAUCAAUAGGAGGAAAAGUCCUUGGGAGCAUCCUAGUAGAAGCAGGGAGAGGAAGAGGGGAUAUGGAACAGAAGGAAAAUAGGAUAACAUUUGAAAAACCAUUAUGUAAUUGUAUGAAAUAUCCGACAAAAAUUUAAAAAAAUCUGUGCAUAUAAUUAUGUAUUAAUAUGAAUAUAUCAUCUGUCUUACUUAAUUGUAUUUACUGUAAUAAAUGAGCCAGUCUCUUUUUUAAUGC
rnacentral:lncRNA from 1 species